AUUACCUGAUAAAACCGAGAGUACUUCUCUUGUCUUACAUAACAACCAUUUAGUGAAAUUAAUUUUAUUGCUGAUUAAGAUGAAACAUUGCAUCUCCUAAAGAUAAGCAAUCUGUUGCCUAUCACAGAAUGAUCUCAGGAUUGAGAUUAGUGGAGGAAUGAGAGAAUUAUCUUGUUCACAAAAUCAUCAUUCUUGGCUGUGGCAUUGUGAAUGCCUUUCAAUACCUCUUGAAAAAAGGUCUACAAACAGAAACUCUGAUCCUCCCAAGCACCAUUAAAGAACGAAAGACUAAGACUCCUGUGAGGUUUUCGUUUUAUGGCAAUAGAACUGAAGUUAGAACAUAUGAAGCCAAGGAUUUCAGGUCAUUGAUACUUGUUACUCCCAGAAAGAAAAGCAGUUACUCUAAAGCACACCCACUUGAGCCAACAGCAAUGAUUCCCAACAGAGAAUGAAAUGAAGAAGAGGAAAACACAAAACUCGAUCCCUUUAUUUCAGUUUCUUCUAGCAAAAU
rnacentral:misc_RNA from 1 species